rnacentral:rRNA from 1 species
GACGAACGCUGGCGGCGUGCUUAACACAUGCAAGUCGAACGGAAAGGCCCUGCUUUUGUGGGGUUCUCGAGUGGCGAACGGGUGAGUAACACGUGAGUAACCUGCCCUUGACUUUGGGAUAACUUCAGGAAACUGGGGCUAAUACCGGAUAGGAGCUCCUGUUGCAUGGUGGGGGUUGGAAAGUUUCGGCGGGUGGGGAUGGACUCGCGGCUUAUGAGCUUGUUGGUGGGGUAGUGGCUUGCCAAGGCUUUGACCGGUAGCCGGCCUGAGAGGGUGACCGGCGACAUUGGGACUGAGAUACGGCCCAGACGCCUACGGGAGGCAGAAGUGGGGAAUAUUGCACAAUGGGCGGAAGCCUGAUGCAGCAACGCCGCGUGCGGGAUGACGGCCUUCGGGUUGUAAACCGCUUUCGCCUGUGACGAAGCGUGAGUGACGGUAAUGGGUAAAGAAGCACCGGCUAACUACGUG